ACUCAAAGGAAUUGACGGGGGCCCGCACAAGCGGUGGAGCAUGUGGUUUAAUUCGACGCAACGCGAAGAACCUUACCUGGGCUUGACAUGCUUAAGGAACCCGGUGGAAACACCGGGCCCUCUUCGGAGCUUAAGCACAGGUGCUGCAUGGCUGUCGUCAGCUCGUGUCGUGAGAUGUUGGGUUAAGUCCCGCAACGAGCGCAACCCCCGCCCCUAGUUGCCAGCGCGUGAUGGCGGGGACUCUAGGGGGACUGCCGGUGCCAAACCGGAGGAGGGUGGGGACGACGUCAAGUCAUCAUGGUCCUUACGCCCAGGGCCACACACGUGCUACAAUGGCCGGUACAGAGGGUCGCGAGCCCGCGAGGGGGAGCCAAUCCCCGAAAGCCGGCCUCAGUGCGGAUCGGAGGCUGCAACCCGCCUCCGUGAAGCUGGAAUCGCUAGUAAUCGUGGAUCAGCCACGCCACGGUGAAUACGUUCCCGGGCCUUGUACACACCGCCCGU
rnacentral:rRNA from 1 species